rnacentral:lncRNA from 1 species
AUUUUAAUCACAAUACCUUAACGGCCUAUUCUUUUGACUUUGGCAGCUAAUGGCUUGGAAAUCAUCCAAGUCUUCCUAUAGAGCGGUUCAAGGUGGUAACCAGUUUCUUUCACAGCCCAGUUUUGUCUGUAGUUGAGAAUUGCUCUGUUUAACAGUUUUUCUCAAACUAAUUGGCAUUUUAUGAAUGUCAAUGUUCAUUUCUUAAAUAUGUGUGAGAGAAAAAGGGAGGGUACAUAAGAUUUAGCAGAGAGAAGCAAUGUAGCAAAAUCUGCCUCCAGGAAAAAAAAGGAAAAGCAUAAAAGAAAAACAAUGCAUCAUGACUAAAUCUAAAGCUAAAUCUAUUCUAUUUUUUAUUUUAAAACUUGAAUUGGUUUGUUAAAACUCAGAUACUCUAUAAAUGAAGAAGCACCAAUAUAUUAGCUAAGUUAAAUUUUUAUAAACUUUUUUGGGGGUGUCUGAAUGCUGCUGCAAAGAAAAGCCCAUCCCACAACCAUCAUGCAAAUAAAAGACAAAUGUAGGCUAUCUACUCACAGGUGAUGUGUAAAUCGCCCAUUAUCACCUUUUACAUGAACGAGAACCAGCAAUCACCGCACUGUGUAUAAACAGCCUGUGCAUGCAGAAUCAUCACUCUGGUCUCUGAACUUUGGUUAGUGUCUGUGAACAGAGCUGAAGAGAUGCAAUCUUGUGAUUUCUGCGGUGAGAAUACCCACGGUGUCUCAUUCAAACUCCCUUUAAAAGAGGAACAUCGUCGCCUCUGGAUAGUGAAUAUGGGUAAAGACGCGGAAUGGACUCCAUCUGAAUCCUCGUCUCUGUGCUCCGCUCAUUUCACUCCGGAUUGCUUUGAAUCUGGAUCAGCUCGUUUACACUCAGACGCGAUUCCGACUGUGUUUAAUUUCACACAAUCUAAGAAUCAGAUGCUAAAGGACACUGAAAAUCUCCCUCCACACCAAGAAGCACCUACUGAAUCCACCGACUCAUCCAGAUCAUCCUGCUCUGACUGUUAUAAACAUCUGCAGGCCACAGAAAGAAAUUACCAGCUGAAAUUAGCUGCUGCUCAGCUUCAGAUAAAAGAGUACAAAAAGAAUCUAGCAGAGGAGUCACGGAAAGCAACACAAUGGCAGAAGCGAGCAAUAGUUUUGCAGAGCGCAAUCAGAGCAAUGAAACAAAGGGGGUCAAUACCUGCAUCAAGAAAAACAUCUACACCUAAAAAUAAUCAUUUGGACUGA